rnacentral:rRNA from 1 species
AACGAACGCUGGCGGCAUGCCUAACACAUGCAAGUCGAACGAGACCUUCGGGUCUAGUGGCGCACGGGUGCGUAACGCGUGGGAACCUGCCCUUAGGUUCGGAAUAACUCCCCGAAAGGGGUGCUAAUACCGGAUAAUGUCUGCGGACCAAAGAUUUAUCGCCUUUGGAUGGGCCCGCGUUGGAUUAGCUAGUUGGUAGGGUAAAAGCCUACCAAGGCGACGAUCCAUAGCUGGUCUGAGAGGAUGAUCAGCCACACUGGGACUGAGACACGGCCCAGACUCCUACGGGAGGCAGCAGUGGGGAAUAUUGGACAAUGGGCGAAAGCCUGAUCCAGCAAUGCCGCGUGAGUGAUGAGGGCCUUAGGGUUGUAAAGCUCUUUUACCCGGGAUGAUAAUGACAGUACCGGGAGAAUAAGCUCCGGCUAACUCCGUG